rnacentral:rRNA from 1 species
GCGCCGUAAGGUGUGGAGCUGACUGGUACUAAUAGGCCGAGGGCUUGUCUCAACA